GGAAAAUUCAUCGAAAUCGACAAAUUGUGUUCUGCUGACUUGCCAUUAGAAACCAAAAUGAAGAUGCUGAACUUUAUGAAAAGAUACGGUAAAACUCCAUUUGGAGUAAGCAUCGGCGGAUUCUUUUAUGUUAAGAAAAACUUCUUCAUUCGAAUGGUGAGUGCCUUAUAUUCAUCGCUGUCUGUAUUGACGGAGCUUUUAAUUAAGAAGAAACCAUCUACUUGUAAAGUCAAGAUUAGAGAUUUGAUUCAAUGAAGCUAUUGAAUUAAAUUAUCUCACAGGCUGACUUGAAUAUUUGAAUAAUAGUAGAUUUACUACGAGGAAAUAAGGUAUUCCUGUGUUAAAAAAAGAAGUCGAUUGUAGACUAAUCGGAAAAAUUGAAAUCUCAAAUUCUGAAAGAAAAUACUCCUUACAAAAUUUGAAGAGUCGAAAUCUACAUUCGUUCGACAAUAAAU